CCGCACGCUGUCCGGCGGAGGAC
rnacentral:rRNA from 1 species